GGUUAUUGUGGAUUAUGGUUUUAAAGAUGAUUGCCCACAUGCAGAUCUGGACAGUUUGCUGGGGUGUAACCAAGCAAAGGAACAAGGGCACAGCAUAAAGACACAGGCACAUCUACUUCUUCUUUGGCAUCCCUUAAUCGGAAAUGAGUCAAAAGGAUUCAAACUGCAGCAGGAUGACAUCGGUGUCUGCAAGCAUCAUCACUCACAUCUGUUUACAAACCAUCUUCAAAAUGCUGAGCAAGAAAAAAACUCAUCAAGCAAUAAAGCAGAUGGAGCUCAAAGAGAAAAAAACCAUAGCUCAGUACUUGUGACACCGUUUGUAAAUACAUCUGCAAGCAAAAAUAUUGAUUAAAAUGAUAGUAUGAAACAAAAUUCCUCUUUACUAUAUCAUAAUUCAUCCUGUGCCCAUGGUUCAAAU
rnacentral:lncRNA from 1 species